GUGUUCAGUUGCCAGCUGAGGCUGAACCACGACACUAGAUGAAAUACAACGUGGUCCCAUUUUGGCCUUGAAUUGUAAGUGUUCACAGAAGACAGAAAAAUAAAGUGUCUGAAGUCGUGCCAAAAUUUUGCUGAACCACUCAGAUUCCUGCAGUUUACUUUUUUGAGCAUCUUACAGCAUCUUUGGAUCACCCAACAAAGAAAUUCCUUUUGGACACAGUAUGUGGUCAAAUGAAGAUUCUGUUCAAAGUGACAUGAAAUCAGAAAUAUUGGCUAUAUAACAGGGUUUGCUCAACAGGGAGCACAAGGCAGUUGUCAGAGGAGCUGGCCACUGCAGUCUCACAUU